GCCAUGGUCUGUGUUGACCUCUGCUGACUCAGAAGUGCUUCCACAGAGGCAUCCCUGAAAAGGCUUAGGAUGAGGACAUCAAGAGAACUUCUCCACUGUGGCAAUCAUGAUGAAUUUGAUGACAGUUGCCUGCAUAUUUGAAGACCAGGGAUUUUACUAAAUGAAGGAUGUCAAUGCAAUUGCUCUAGCAGACCAAGUGACUCACUGGUGACCCGCCCUUCCACGCUCCAUCAGAAAAGCACUGCUGCCAUCCACAAAGGAUGGGAGGCCGUGGGCAGAGCUCCCACUUGUGACUUUGUGGAAACUGUAGACAUCCAGAAGAAAAAACAGCAUUUACAGAAGCCCAUCCUCCUCUUCCUCCUCAUUUCUUCUUCCUUCUCAUUUUCUCCUAUUUCCAUAUUUAGGAAGAGGGCAUCUCGUUUCUGAGGAGCGUGGUGACCCAGGAGUGGCAGAACACAUGGAUAUACUCCCUGCUUUGACUGGGGCAGGGAAAUGCAGUGGUGAGGACUCAUUCACUGAGAUCCUGACUGCCAGCCACAUCAUGCUGGAGGUGGGCAAGGACUUGGCUUGGGACCUGGCUUUGUAUCACAAGCUGAAGCUGACAGCUGGGUUUUCCCUUUCUGCAGAAAGAAAGAGAAAAGGAGAAAAGGUGUUGUGUCAUCUGAGAGAGCAUCUCUGUCAUCUCCAGGUGGGAAUGGUGUCCUUUGGCUGCUGCCAGUGCGCUGCAAACCAGCACUAGAGAUAAAGAUUGCCAGAGAGGAAAUUUAUUAGCAACACAUCCUCAAUCAGGCCUCAGUGAAAUAUCUCUGAGAACCAAGUUGCCUGAAUUCCUCUGUCUACAUGGACUGUUCCUGCUCCUUCCAGAACUGAUGUUGUCAGGGGGGUGCUGUGAAGCACCCUGCGCCUCCCAGGUCUUUAUGCUGAGAAUGGCAAUGAUUUAAUGAAGAGGUGCAAAUGGAUAAGGGGUGAGGAGCACCAGAGAGAGAAUGUGCCUGCCUGUGCAUGACCUGCCAUCACCCUGCAGAUGUUCUGUGGCCUCCAUGAAGUAAUGAGCUUGGGAAGCCUACUCCUCUGCAGCUUCUGCUUAGAAGUUUGAUGUCUGUCCCUGUGAACCCUCUGAUAACAGUGGCAUCUAACAGGUGCCUUGCCUGGGGAUAGCAUCUAUCUACAAAAGGCAACAUGAAAAUAAAAGAAAAAUGCCAGUUUGUGAUGUAUCACUCAACUUCUUAAAUCACUGAAAAAUAAUCAGCAGGGAUUCAA